UGGGGAAUUUUGGACAAUGGGCGAAAGCCUGAUCCAGCAAUGCCGCGUGUGUGAAGAAGGCCUUCGGGUUGUAAAGCACUUUUGUCCGGAAAGAAAUCCUUGGCUCUAAUACAGUCGGGGGAUGACGGUACCGGAAGAAUAAGCACCGGCUAACUACGUGCCAGCAGCCGCGGUAAUACGUAGGGUGCAAGCGUUAAUCGGAAUUACUGGGCGUAAAGCGUGCGCAGGCGGUUUGCUAAGACCGAUGUGAAAUCCCCGGGCUCAACCUGGGAACUGCAUUGGUGACUGGCAGGCUAGAGUAUGGCAGAGGGGGGUAGAAUUCCACGUGUAGCAGUGAAAUGCGUAGAGAUGUGGAGGAAUACCGAUGGCGAAGGCAGCCCCCUGGGCCAAUACUGACGCUCAUGCACGAAAGCGUGGGGGAGCAAACAGGAUUUAGAUACCCUGGUAGUCCACGCCCUAAACGAUGUCAACUAGUUGUUGGGGAUUCAUUUCCUUAGUAACGUAGCUAACGCGUGAAGUUGACCGCCUGGGGAGUACGGUCGCAAGAUU
rnacentral:rRNA from 1 species